rnacentral:rRNA from 1 species
AACGAACGCUGGCGGCAUGCCUAACACAUGCAAGUCGAACGAGACCUUCGGGUCUAGUGGCGCACGGGUGCGUAACGCGUGGGAAUCUGCCCUUCGGUUGGGAAUAACUGAGAGAAAUUUCAGCUAAUACCUUAUAAUGUCUUCGGACCAAAGAUUUAUCGCCGAGGGAUGAGCCCGCGUAGGAUUAGGUAGUUGUUGGGGUAAUGGCCUACCAAGCCGACGAUCCUUAGCUGGUCUGAGAGGAUGAUCAGCCACACUGGGACUGAGACACGGCCCAGACUCCUACGGGAGGCAGCAGUGGGGAAUAUUGGGCAAUGGGCGAACGCCUGAUCCAGCAAUGCCGCGUGAGUGAUGAAGGCCUUAGGGUUGUAAAGCUCUUUUACCCGGGAUGAUAAUGACAGUACCGGGAGAAUAAGCCCCGGCUAACUCCGUG